GAACUUUCCAGAGAUGGAUUGGUGCCUUCGGGAACUGUGAGACAGGUGCUGCAUGGCUGUCGUCAGCUCGUGUUGUGAAAUGUUGGGUUAAGUCCCGCAACGAGCGCAACCCUUAUCCUUUGUUGCCAGCGGUCCGGCCGGGAACUCAAAGGAGACUGCCAGUGAUAAACUGGAGGAAGGUGGGGAUGACGUCAAGUCAUCAUGGCCCUUACGACCAGGGCUACACACGUGCUACAAUGGCGCAUACAAAGAGAAGCGACCUCGCGAGAGCAAGCGGACCUCAUAAAGUGCGUCGUAGUCCGGAUUGGAGUCUGCAACUCGACUCCAUGAAGUCGGAAUC
rnacentral:rRNA from 1 species